UACGGAGGGGGCUAGCGUUGCUCGGAAUCACUGGGCGUAAAGCGCACGUAGGCGGACUCUUAAGUCGGUGGUGAAAUCCUGGAGCUCAACUCCAGAACUGCCUUCGAUACUGGGAGUCUUGAGUCCGGGAGAGGUGAGUGGAACUGCGAGUGUAGAGGUGAAAUUCGUAGAUAUUCGCAAGAACACCAGUGGCGAAGGCGGCUCACUGGCCCGGUACUGACGCUGAGGUGCGAAAGCGUGGGGAGCAAACAGG
rnacentral:rRNA from 1 species